GUAAAGCUACUGUUUUGGUGCGGGCUGCGAGAGUGGUACCAAAUCAAGGCAAACUCUGAAUACUAAGACGUUUAGUUAGCCAGUGAGACAUUGGGGGAUAAGCUUCAAUGUCAAGAGGGAAACAGCCCAGAUUAUUAGUUAAGGCCCCUAAAUGAUUACUAAGUGGUAAAGGAGGUGGGAUUGCUAAGACAAUCAGGAGGUUUGCCCAGAAGCAGCAAUCCUUUAAAGAGUGCGUAAUAGCUCACUGGUCUAGUAAUCCUGCGCCGAAAAUGAACGGGACUUAAAUAAUUUGCCGAAGCUGUGAGAUAUUUAUUACAAGUAAAUAUCGGUAGGGGAGCGUUCUGUUGUAGGUUGAAGCAUUAACGUAAGUGGGUGUGGACGAAGCAGAAGUGAGAAUGUCGGCUUGAGUAGCGAAAACAUUGGUGAGAAUCCAAUGCCCCGAAAACCUAAGGUUUCCCCCGGAAGGCUCGUCCGCGGGGGGUGAGUCAGGACCUAAGGCGAGGUCGAAAGACGUAGUCGAUGGACAAUAGGUUAAUAUUCCUAUACCGUUUUUUAUUGGCAACGAGGGACGAAGAAGGCUAAACUUAUCCAGAUAGUGGUCACUGGUCCAAGCAUUCAAGGUUAUGAGAAAUAGUGAAAAUAUUUUGAGCUGAGAUGUGAUGGGGAGAUACUUAGUAUUGAAGUAGUUGAUGUCAUGCUUCCAAGAAAAGCUUGCACUGUCAUAAAUAGAAAACGCCUGUACCCUAAACCGACACAGGUAGGUAGGUAGAGUAUACUAAGGGGCGCGAGAUAACUCUCUCUAAGGAACUCGGCAAAAUAACCCCGUAACUUUGGGAGAAGGGGUACCCUAUGGGUUGCAAUAACAAGGUCCAAGCGACUGUUUAUCAAAAACACAGGUCUCCGCGAAGUCGAAAGACAAUGUAUGGGGGCUGACGCCUGCCCAGUGCCGGAAGGUUAAAGAAGCUGGUUAGCAGUAGCGAAGCUAGUGACUGAAGCCCCGGUGAACGGCGGCCGUAACUAUAACGGUCCUAAGGUAGCGAAAUUCCUUGUCGGGUAAGUUCCGACCCGCACGAAAGGUGUAACGAUCUGCGUACUGUCUCGGAGAGAGACUCGGCGAAAUAGACUUGUCUGUGAAGAUGCGGACUACCUGCACCUGGACAAAAAGACCCUAUGAAGCUUUACUGUAGCUUGAUAUUGGCUCCGGGCUUUGUUUGCGCAGGAUAGGUGGGAGACGUUGAAGAUUUUCUUGCGGGAAAAUUGGAGUCAUUGGUGAGAUACCACUCUGACAAUGCUAGGAUUCUAACCCUAUACCGUUAUCCGGUUAGGGGACAGUUUCAGGUGGUCAGUUUGACUGGGGCGGUCGCCUCCUAAAAGGUAACGGAGGCGUGCAAAGGUUUCCUCAGGCUGGUCGGAAAUCAGUCGUAGAGUGUAAAGGCAUAAGGAAGCUUGAUUGUGAGACCUACAAGUCGAACAAAGACGAAAGUCGGCCUUAGUGAUCCGACGGUUCCGAGUGGAAGGGCCGUCGCUCAACGGAUAAAAGUUACUCUAGGGAUAACAGGCUGAUCUCCCCCAAGAGUCCAUAUCGACGGGGAGGUUUGGCACCUCGAUGUCGGCUCGUCGCAUCCUGGGGCGGUAGUACGUCCCAAGGGUUGGGCUGUUCGCCCAUGAAAGCGGCACGCGAGCUGGGUUCAGAACGUCGUGAGACAGUUCGGUCCAUAUCCGGUGUAGGCGUUAGAGUAUUGCGAGGAUCUCUUCUUAGUACGAGAGGACCGGAAGAGACAUACCUCUGGUGUAUCAGUUAUCGUGCCAACGGUAAACGCUGGGUAGCCAUGUAUGGUUAGGAUAACCGCUGAAAGCAUCUAAGUGGGAAGCCCACCUCAAGAUGAGUACUCUUACCAUCUAAGAAUGGUUAAGGUCACGGCAAGACGAGCCGUUUGAUAGGUAUCAAGUGUACGUGCAGUAAUGCAUUUAGCUGAGAUAUACUAAUAGACCGAAGGCUUGAC
rnacentral:rRNA from 13 species